UAGCACUUACCUACCUCAGAGA
rnacentral:piRNA from 1 species